AGAGUUUGAUCCUGGCUCAGAUUGAACGCUGGCGGCAGGCCUAACACAUGCAAGUCGAACGGUAACAGAAAGCAGCUUGCUGCUUUGCUGACGAGUGGCGGACGGGUGAGUAAUGUCUGGGAAACUGCCCGAUGGAGGGGGAUAACUACUGGAAACGGUAGCUAAUACCGCAUAACGUCGCAAGACCAAAGAGGGGGACCUUAGGGCCUCUUGCCAUCGGAUGUGCCCAGAUGGGAUUAGCUAGUAGGUGGGGUAACGGCUCACCUAGGCGACGAUCCCUAGCUGGUCUGAGAGGAUGACCAGCCACACUGGAACUGAGACACGGUCCAGACUCCUACGGGAGGCAGCAGUGGGGAAUAUUGCACAAUGGGCGCAAGCCUGAUGCAGCCAUGCCGCGUGUAUGAAGAAGGCCUUCGGGUUGUAAAGUACUUUCAGCGGGGAGGAAGGGAGUAAAGUUAAUACCUUUGCUCAUUGACGUUACCCGCAGAAGAAGCACCGGCUAACUCCGUGCCAGCAGCCGCGGUAAUACGGAGGGUGCAAGCGUUAAUCGGAAUUACUGGGCGUAAAGCGCACGCAGGCGGUUUGUUAAGUCAGAUGUGAAAUCCCCGGGCUCAACCUGGGAACUGCAUCUGAUACUGGCAAGCUUGAGUCUCGUAGAGGGGGGUAGAAUUCCAGGUGUAGCGGUGAAAUGCGUAGAGAUCUGGAGGAAUACCGGUGGCGAAGGCGGCCCCCUGGACGAAGACUGACGCUCAGGUGCGAAAGCGGGGGGAGCAAACAGGAUUAGAUACCCUGGUAGUCCA
rnacentral:rRNA from 1 species